GCGCUGUCUCCACCCGAGACUCAGUGAGAUUGAAAUCGCUGUGAAGAUGCAGUGUAUCCGCGGCUAGACGGAAAGACCCCGUGAACCUUUACUAUAGCUUGACACUGAACACUGGUCCUUGAUGUGUAGGAUAGGUGGGAGGCUUUGAAGCGUGGACGCCAGUCUGCGUGGAGCCAACCUUGAAAUACCACCCUUUAAUGGCUGGUGUUCUAACGUAGACCCGUAAUCCGGGUUGCGGACAGUGUCUGGUGGGUAGUUUGACUGGGGCGGUCUCCUCCUAAAGAGUAACGGAGGAGCACGAAGGUUAGCUAAUCCUGGUCGGACAUCAGGAGGUUAGUGCAAUGGCAUAAGCUAGCUUGACUGCGAGAGUGACGGCUCGAGCAGGUGCGAAAGCAGGUCAUAGUGAUCCGGUGGUUCUGAAUGGAAGGGCCAUCGCUCAA
rnacentral:rRNA from 1 species